rnacentral:rRNA from 1 species
UGAAUACGAGACGCUACGGCGUCGAAGCAGUCUAUGUCAUACUUCCAAGAAAAGCUCGCAAUGUCAUAACAAAUAAUGCCUGUACCAUAACCGACACAGGUGGGUGGGUAGAGUAUACUAAGGGGCGCGAGAUAACUCUCUCUAAGGAACUCGGCAAAAUGACUCCGUAACUUCGGGAGAAGGAGUGCCUUAUUUAUAAGGUUGCAAUAACAAGAUCCAAGCAACUGUUUAUCAAAAACACAGGUCUCCGCUAAGUCGUAAGACGAUGUAUGGGGGCUGACGCCUGCCCAGUGCCAGAAGGUUAAAGAAGUUGGUUAGCAUUCGCGAAGCUGAUAACUGAAGCCCUGGUGAACGGCGGCCGUAACAAUAACGGUCCUAAGGUAGCGAAAUUCCUUGUCGGGUAAGUUCCGACCCGCACGAAAGGCGUAAUGAUUUGGAUACUGUCUCGGAGAGGGGCUCGGUGAAAUAGACUUGUCUGUGAAGAUGCGGACUACCUGCACCUGGACAGAAAGACCCUAUGAAGCUUUACUGUAACUUGAAAUUGAAAUUGGACUUUAUUUGCGCAGCAUAGGUGGGAGGCGUUGAGAGUAUUCUUGCGGGAAUAUUGGAGCCAUCAGUGAGAUACCACUCUUGUAAUGUUAGAUUUCUAACUUUGUAUCAUUAUCUGGUCAAAGAACAGUUUCAGGCGGGCAGUUUGACUGGGGCGGUCGCCUCCCAAACGGUAACGGAGGCGUACAAAGGUUUCCUCUGAACGGGUAGAAAUCGUAUCUAGAGUGUAAAGGCAUAAGGAAGCUUGACUGUGAGACCUACAAGUCGAGCAGGGACGAAAGUCGGUCUUAGUGAUCUGACGGUGCUGAGUGGAAAGGCCGUCACUCAACGGAUAAAAGUUACACUAGGAUAACAGGCUGAUCUCCCCCAAGAGUUCACAUCGACGGGAGGUUUGGCACCUCGAUGUCGGCUCAUCGCAUCCUGGGGCGGUAGUACGUCCCAAGGGUUGGGCUGUUCGCCCAUGAAAGCGGUACGCGAGCUGGGUUCAGAACGUCGUGAGACAGUUCGGUCCAUAUCCGGUGUAGGCGUUAGAAUAUUGAGAGGAGCCUUCUUUAGUACGAGAGGACCGAGAAGGACAUACCUCUGGUGUACCAGUUAUCGUGCCAACGGUAAACGCUGGGUAGCUAUGUACGGAGAGGAUAACCGCUGAAAGCAUCUAAGUGGGAAGCCCACCUCAAGAUAAGUAUUCUC